rnacentral:rRNA from 1 species
CACUGCUAUCGGGGUUCGAUUAAGCCAUGCGAGCCGAGAGGGUUCAGACCCUCGGCGCACUGCUCAGUAACACGUGGAUAACCUACCCUGAGGAGGGGGAUAACCCCGGGAAACUGGGGAUAAUACCUCAUAGGUUUCAGAUGCUGGAAUGCUCUGAAACCGAAAUGCUCCGGCGCCUCAGGAUGGAUCUGCGGCCGAUUAGGUUGUUGUUGGGGUAACGGCCCAACAAGCCCGUCAUCGGUACGGGUUGUGAGAGCAAGAGCCCGGAGAUGGAUUCUGAGACACCAAUCCAGGCCCUACGGGGCGCAGCAGGCGCGAAACCUUUACAAUGCGAGCAAUCGUGAUAAGGGAACCCCGAGUGCCUGAAACCAGGCUGUUCAGGUGUUUAAAAAGCACCUGGAGAAAGGGCCGGGCAAGACCGGUGCCAGCCGCCGCGGUAAUACCGGCGGCUCGAGUGGUGGCCGCUAUUAUUGGGCUUAAAGCGUUCGUAGCUGGGUUGUUAAGUCUCUUGGGAAAUCUCACGGCUCAACCGUGAGGCGACUAAGAGAUACUGGCAAUCUUGGGACCGGGAGAGGUGAGAGGUACUCCAGGGGUAGGAGUGAAAUCUUGUGAUCCUCGGGGGACCACCAGUGGCGAAGGCGUCUC